AGGCUCCACCUCCAGCACUGGCACUCAUAUUGAAAACACACUUUCUUAGGUCCCCAGUGCCUGCCAGCACAGGAUGGGGUGUCCACUCUGUGAGAAGGAGGCUGUACCUAUUUGUUUCUGGUUUUGUCUAAUUGGUGGGCUUAUGCUAAAUGCCUCGAACUGAGUGACAAGGAGGGUCUGGCAUUUCAUUAAAAUUAGGAGGGGAAUCUGAACAUCAAAACGCCAAAGAGGUAACAAGACCUCAGAAGAAAAUGGCUACUUAUCUACAUGGGAAGGAUCUGCGGGGUCCAGGAGAAGCUCCACAAGCUCAAGGAAGAGGCAGAGCUGCAAGGAUGAAAGGGUAACUGGAGAGGGAACACAGCUCUGAAGUGGGCACGCUGCUGAAAAGAAGGCAAGGGAAAGCCCUAUGCAUCCCCACGAGCAUGUUUAAAAUGAUGAGGACGAACUGCUGUACAGAAGGUAGGCACAGGGAGUCCAAUAGACCCAGAGUUAGUGUUGCUUGUCAGUGAGCCUAAAUGAAGACUUCAACCCAGAUUUAAAAACGUAACUAGGAAGGCUUCCUUUGCAGAAAUGAAAUAAGGUCAUAAAUCCUUUGAAAAAUGCCCUAGGUAUACAAAAGCAAGGGAUAUAUAUAUAUAUAUACAUAUAUAUAUAUAUAUUCUGUACUUUAUGUAUCAACACAUUUCUAUGUAUACACAUGUGUGUUCAUGUGUGUGUAUGUAUCUCUGUGUCUCUGUGUAGCAGCAAUUAAUAAAAAAGAUGUGAUGAAUUUAAAAGAGCCAUGAAGAUUA